UAGGUGCGUUUCCACCAAAG
rnacentral:miRNA from 1 species